UACGUAGGGUGCAAGCGUUAAUCGGAAUUACUGGGCGUAAAGCGUGCGCAGGCGGUUUUGUAAGUCUGUCGUGAAAUCCCCGGGCUCAACCUGGGAAUUGCGAUGGAGACUGCAAGGCUAGAAUCUGGCAGAGGGGGGUAGAAUUCCACGUGUAGCAGUGAAAUGCGUAGAGAUGUGGAGGAACACCGAUGGCGAAGGCAGCCCCCUGGGUCAAGAUUGACGCUCAUGCACGAAAAGCGUGGGGAAGCAACAGG
rnacentral:rRNA from 1 species